rnacentral:rRNA from 1 species
CACGUAGUUGGCCGGUGCUUCUUCUGCGCAUACCGUCACUUUCGCUUCGUCUGCGCUGAAAGAGGUUUACAACCCGAAGGCCGUCAUCCCUCACGCGGCGUUGCUGGAUCAGGCUUUCGCCCAUUGUCCAAUAUUCCCCACUGCUGCCUCCCGUAGGAGUCUGGGCCGUGUCUCAGUCCCAGUGUGGCCGGUCAUCCUCUCAGGCCGGCUACCCGUCGAAGCCUUGGUGAGCCAUUACCUCACCAACAAGCUGAUAGGCCGCGAGCUCAUCCUGCACCGCCAGAACUUUCCACCACACACCAUGCAGCAUGUAGUCAUAUUCGGUAUUAGCCACCGUUUCCGGAGGUUAUCCCAAAGUGCAGGGCAGAUUGCUCACGUGUUACUCACCCGUUCGCCGCUCGUGUACCCCGAAGGGCCAUACCGCUCGACUUGCAUGUGUUAAGCACGCCGCCAGCGUUCGUCCUGAGCCAGGAUCAAACUCU